rnacentral:rRNA from 1 species
CCCUUAGAUGUUCUGGGCUGCACGCGCGCUACACUGAUGCGCUCAACGAGUUUACGACCUUGCCCGGAAGGGUUGGGUAAUCUUUUUAAAACGCAUCGUGAUGGGGAUAGAUUAUUGCAAUUAUUAAUCUUUAACGAGGAAUUCCUAGUAAGCGCGAGUCAUCAGCUCGUGCUGAUUACGUCCCUGCCCUUUGUACACACCGCCCGUCGCACCUACCGAUUGAAUGGUUCGGUGAAGAUCUCGGACUUCGAUAUUUAUUCUUUAUUGAGUUUAUAUUGUGGGAAGUUAUCUAAACCUCAUCAUUUAGAGGAAGGUGAAGUCGUAACA